AGUAUUGGUCAAUUUGUGGGCUCUGAAUUCCAAUAUUGAUGUUCCUGAAGACUGUCUUUCACUUUCAAGCGAAUCUCUAGACAAUUUCAGAAAAGUGGGAUCUCCACAAGCUGCGAAAUUGUUGCCUCCUAGCUUGGAUGAUUCUAAUAAAAAGUCUACACUUGGUGUUUCUUCAUCUCAAUCUAGAGAGCGCAGAAAAAUGCAAUUGGUGGAACAGCCAAGCCAAAAUUCAGUUAGUAGAAGUUCAUAGGUGACAAAAGCAGGGUUUGUAAGUCAAGGUCGGCCCAGGUAUGCUGAUGAUAUUCAGAAAGCAAAAAUACGUGCUUUAUUUAUGCAGAAUAUUUGAUGACAUAUCUCCAAUGGAACAACAUAUCAUAAAGGUUGUUUGGGAGGAGUGGGUUGCAUUUCUUUUAACCGUUUGUAAAUGAUUAGAUGUUUCAAUAUUACAUGAGCUGAGACACUAUUUUAUGUGUAAUUAUGUUAUGUAAAUAUAUUUAGGAACUUUGUUAGGUAAAUAUUACU